AACCGGAUUAGAUACCCUGGUAGUCCAUGCCGUAAACGAUGAGUGCUAGGUGUUGGAGGGUUUCCGCCCUUCAGUGCCGCAGCUAACGCAUUAAGCACUCCGCCUGGGGAGUACGACCGCAAGGUUGAAACUCAAAGGAAUUGACGGGGGCCCGCACAAGCGGUGGAGCAUGUGGUUUAAUUCGAAGCUACGCGAAGAACCUUACCAGGUCUUGACAUCUUCUGCCAAUCUUAGAGAUAAGACGUUCCCUUCGGGGACAGAAUGACAGGUGGUGCAUGGUUGUCGUCAGCUCGUGUCGUGAGAUGUUGGGUUAAGUCCCGCAACGAGCGCAACCCUUAUUAUCAGUUGCCAGCAUUAAAAANGGGCACUCUGGUGAGACUGCCGGUGACAAACCGGAGGAAGGUGGGGAUGACGUCAAAUCAUCAUGCCCCUUAUGACCUGGGCUACACACGUGCUACAAUGGACGGUACAACGAGUCGCAAAGUCGCGAGGCUAAGCUAAUCUCUUAAAGCCGUUCUCAGUUCGGAUUGCAGGCUGCAACUCGCCUACAUGAAGUUGGAAUCGCUAGUAAUCGCGGAUCAGCAUGCCGCGGUGAAUACGUUCCCGGGCCUUGUACACACCGCCCGUCACACCAUGAGAGUUUGUAACACCCAAAGCCGGUGAGGUAACCUUUUGGAGCCAGCCGUCUAAGGUGGGNNANAUGAUUAGGGUGAAGUCGUAACAAGGUAACC
rnacentral:rRNA from 1 species